rnacentral:lncRNA from 10 species
AAAGAAGUUGUCAAGGUAAUUUCCUUCUAGCCCGUGGUUUUCUCCGCAGAUGGUGUAAAUAAGUUAGCACAAGAAUGGAGUGAUGGCACGUGUGGUUAGUAUUCUCCCAACCUGCUGAAAGCUGACAAGCCAUAAAAACUGUUUUCCAUCUUUAUUUCCAGUAAAGGAAUUAAGUAGCUAGCUUGCUCUGCAUUUCUGACUUUUCCAAAUGUUGUGACUUUCCGCCACCAGACAUGGAGAACAACCACGGCUGUGCCCGGUUCUUCAGGUGGCUGCCAGUCCCCCCGUGCCUGCUCCCUGUCCCUGCCUGCCUUCCCGCUGAUGAUGACUGACGUUCUGGGACGGAGGAGCAGGUUAGGCCUAGGUACAGUUGUGUGCUGGUAAAUUUGUAACAAAAGGCUCUCCAGGGGAAGAAAAGCCCUGAUUUUCAGUGUUUGCCAAUUUCCACGGUAUUAAAAGUACUCACACCAAGGCCGGUUUUAAGCAGUGCUCCUGAAGUCCCUGAAGACAGAGUUGAAAAGCAUCGUGCACAGUUGACUCUUCUAAGCUAGUCCGAGCUGGCUCCAACACACUACUGCCUAUCUUCUGGGAACACUCUUUUUUGUGUCCUGUCCUGGUUAUGCUGAGAGUCUGCAUCUUGCUUCAGAGAAUUUACUAAAAUCACAGGAAGGUCUGAAUUCUCAUUUGUACAUUCGACACCAAGUAUAUGGAGGCUUUCCCAAUUGCUCUGUGUGAAGGACUUGAGUUUUCUUCCAGCAUCAGCUGAAAAUACCAAAUGCCUGUUUGUGUGGAAAUUUCCUGAGACUACAGCUCUUAACUCUCUGACCUGAGUAGUAUAUGUGUGAAUUUUCCAUCAGGUUGUAUUCUCUGCAUUUUUCUCUGCCGUAUGGUGGCAAAUGAUUGUCCUAAUGUAUAAGAUCCCCUUUCAGCCUCCUACCCCCAGCCUCAGUACUGCCCCUGAGCUCGGGAAGAGAACCCCUUGCCCUGGGCUCCUCCUACAUUUGAGAUUUGACUCUAGAUAUCUGUUGGCUAUGUCCCUUUCCACUAAGUCUGUGGACCCCACUUCUAAGACUAUUGUCUGGAUUCUGGAGAGUCCAGAAUUCUCUGCCUGAAAGGCUCUGAACCUAUUGGACCUGUAGUGGCCUCUUUGCCUUAUCCAUUCUCCAAAGGGUAGACUAUGCCAAAUCCCAAGAUUUUGAUUAAGAACAGCUAGCUUGUGUGUUUUUUUGUUUUUGUUUGGUGAGGGUGGUUGUGGAUGGUACUACACCUAAAGGCCACCAUGGAUGUUCACAUAGCACUCAUGCUUGUUGUGCAGACCAUAUGGAGCCAAUAGCAAGAAUGUUAAGGGAUCCAGCAAAAUCAGAAGGCCUGGGGGCAAUGGCUGGGUCUCCCCUACCUGUUGUCACAUUUCAGUGUGGACCUCUGAAGAUUGCAAGCAUCCUGAAUUUGAACCUUCCUUUGUAGUGAAGGAUGGAAUCUAUUUCAUUUAAGAGCUCGUUGGCUUAAUUUAAACUUUUAAAUAUUUAGACAGAUAGUAUAUGAACCUCCAUUUAUACUCUUGCACCAGACUCUGCAAAUAUUGGCCAGGCCUUCCCAAAACACAGUUUUUUUUUUCUUUUCUUUUUUUUUUUUUAGUGUCCUCUUUUCUCUUUCAAGUGUACAGUCUAGGUGAGUAAGGAUUAGGUUUUUAAGAGGGAAAAGUCCCAGAGAAAGUGUCAUAAGCAUGGGAAUGAGUCCACCAAAGACUAGGAAGCUGAUGAUCCAAUGUAAUUGCCAGAGAGAAUGUGGUGGAUCUAACCCUUGGAGCUGCUAAGAGGACAAACACUGAUGCCCAGACCAGCAGCAGGUCUGGCAAUGGCAACUGUCUGGUCUCAUGGACAGGAAUACAGACUGGGUUAAACCGAGAUCUACUUGUUUCUCCUAUUUCCUAACUCUCCCCUACAAGGCCAUCACUUUCCUCCUUGUGUGCUCAAGAAACCUAAUAAAUGUCCUGCAGGAAGAGUUACAGGUGCCUCAGAGUUCUGGACUCUCCUGCAAUUGCUGUGUCACCUUAAUCUUUUCUCUUUGACCAUGGUCAGUUUGUGAUUUGCUGAAGUGAACCAAUGAGCAUUUUAAACCCCAUUGGGUAGGAAGAGUCAUUUUCUGCUUGGACUCUGGACUGGAAACAAACCUUCCCAUUGUGCAGCACUAUGGUCCUUUCUGUGUGCUGUCAUUAAUCUUUUCUCAACUGCCCAGCUGCAGUGACUCUAGGACAUUACAACAUAAUUCCUUCCUACUCAAUAUCAUGUAGGCCACAUAUAUGAACAGACCAUUUCCUGACAUUUUUUUCAGAAAAAUCAGUAUCAGUGUGGGAAUUCAAUGACACUCUAGACUUGUGUCAUUUUUAUGUACUAAACAAAAUGGUACUAUAAAAAUUCAACAUAGUCUCAAGAAGGUCCCAGUUAGUGCACAUGUAAUAACAAUACUCAAGUUUCACUGGCAAUUCUUGCAGGAAGGAUAUUCUGGUAUCUUCUAAUUAGUAAAAAAAAAAAAAUACUAAGAUAAAUAUUUUUGUGAACUUAAUUGGGAAAAUAAAUGAAACUAUCAAUUAGCCAGGAUUUGGGGAGCAUCUGAGAACUAUGAGGUAUGCAGUAAACAUGUGACUGAACUGCCUUUGCAUGGAUGCUAUCAUAAAAUACAUUACCAAUUGGGUAGAGAUAAAUCUAACACACCAAAAGCAAGAGUAGAAAAUAAAAACAAAUCACCCUGCUGCUAUUCCAAGGACCAGAUUUUUUACCACAAUUAGUACUGACUCUCUGAGUGCUAUAGGCUAUUGAGACAAGGAAGAAAUCUAUGAAGGGGAGUUAGGGAAAGCUUCCUGGAAAAAAAAAAAAAAAGGCUUGAGCUGUGCUUUAGGAAGAUGUGCAGUGGAAGGAGGAGAUUUCCAUGGGAUGGGGACAUUAUAAAUAUUUAUAUGCCACAGUCAAAUACCUUGACUAUGCCACAAGGUAACUAGAUUUUUGGGCAGACAUUAUUCUGGGUAUGCCUAUGAGGAUGUUUGGAAGAGAUUAACAUUGUGUAGAAGGAGUAAAACAGGUUGCCCUCCCUAAUGUAAGUGGGUCUCAUCCAAUCAGUUGAAGGUCUGAAUAGAACGGAAAUGCUGACUCUCCCCUAAGAGAGAAUUCUUUGUGUCUAGUGGCCUUUGAACUAGGACAUGGUGUUUUUUUCCUGCCUUCACACUCAAAUUGAAGCAUCAGUUCUUUCUUAGUCUUGAGCCUGCUGGCCUUUGGAAUGGACCACACCAUCAACUGUCCUGGUUGUCAGGCCUUUGGACUUGGGGUGGAACUAAACUAUCAGCUCUCCUGGGUCAACAGCUUGCCGACUCAUCCUGCAAAUCUUAGGACUUGCCAGCCUCCUUGAUUGCAUGACCAAUUCCUUAUAAUAAAUCUCUUCAUAUAUGUGUGACCACAUCCUAUUACUUGUGUUCUUUUGGAGAACUCUGACUACUACACUAAGUAAAGACGCACAACAUUUGCAAGACAAUGCAAAGUUUGACCUGACUAAAUUAGAAAGAUUAUGUUGUGGGGAAAUUUAAGAUAGUUGGUUUGAUAGAGUCAGAGAAGAUGAAGGAGAGUUGAGAUGGAUUUAGAUUGGUGAUGCAAUUAAAAUACUUACUCCUAAAGUCAUCACUAUCUCACUAGUCAGUGUUAUCCUAUUUUCCAUUGAGCCUGAAUUUGAGGAUUUUGUCUCAAUAGUGUAUCUCCAAACAUUCCCUAACAAUCAUAUAGAGUAAGUGCACUAGAUUAAACCUUUUGCAAAUCACAUAGGGAUCUAGUUAAAAUGCAGAUAAUGAUUUAAUAGACCCAGGGUAGAACCUGAGUUCUGUUGCUACUCCAAGGACCAGGUUUUUGAGUAAGAAACAUUCCUUGUAUAGUUAUUGCUGCUUGAAUCAGGGAGCCACUGAGGAAAUACUACCUGGCCUCUGAAGGAAUAAGGGCUGGUCCCGGAAAAAGACAGUAUAUUCUGGACUUUUUAAAAAUUGUACAGUGCAUAUUACCUCACAAAUAUUGUCCUGGGAAUGCAUUUUCAAGAAUUUGCAACAUCAAAGAACAAAAAUUAAGAGGAAAUAAAUAUUCAUCCAGAAUAUGUCAUUUGAGGUGAGCAUCAUGAGUUUGUCAGAGACAAUUUGAAUCAUCAUUUUGCUAAUAUUAAAAGAGAUGGCAUUUUAAAAUUUGAACUCUGAAAAGCAUUUGCUGGAAUCAUUUAUAAAAUGGCAAUAUUAGCCAUAAUUGGCCUGGGUAAAAACUUGAUAGGAGGAGAUGGAGGGAUUUAGGUAAUUCAAAUGGAUCUUUCAGUUCGGUUUUCUCAGGGGAACAAGGCAGCAUGUUGGUGGAAACUCUAAGGAAACCAAGUGGCAAGCCUUCUGAAAGCAAGGACUUGGAUUUUCCUUUCAAGACAUUUGCCAGAAGAGAAAAAAGCACAAGUGAAGAGAUGGAUUACGAACCUCUGAUUUAGACUGUACCUUAGUCACUUAAUGGCAACUCAAGCUGCCAGAUCUCUUGUUCCUCCUGUUUUAUGCCUUUUCUGUCACCCUACUCAACUAGUGACACUUGCUUUCCCACCAAGGCUCAGCACACCACUUCCAAGAAGAUCUGGGCUAGGUGGGUGCCAGUCUGAAUCUGAAUCGCCCCCGUCCUGGGCUCUCCUUAUCAAAAACACUUAGCAAAUUGUAUUAAACUGUUUUACUGUUUUCCCUUCUCCGACUCUAAGCUACUUGAAAACAAUUAUGGGUCACAUAUUUAUUUUCAUUCAUUCAUUCGUCAUCAGUUAUUUAUUAAGUGACCUACCACAUGCCUGGGCAUGGUGAUACAGUGGAAAUAAGGUACACUCCAUGUCCUUAAUGAGUUUUGUGCAUGAGUGCUGGUGCAUGGGUGAGUUCUGGGCAAAGAGAUCAAAGAGGGAUAAGUGCUUUCUUAGGGAUAAGGACAAUGACUAAGGGUCAUCAUACGACAGGCAUGGAACUUUGGCCAUGGUAGUCUUGGGAAGCUUUCAGUAGGUGAUGUAAA